rnacentral:rRNA from 1 species
CCCUUAGAUGUUCUGGGCUGCACGCGCGCUACACUGAUGCAUCCAACAAGUUUUUUCCUUGUUCGAGAGGACUAGGUAAUCUUUUGAGAAUGCAUCGUGAUGGGGAUAGAUUAUUGCAAUUAUUAAUCUUGAACGAGGAAUUCCUAGUAAACGCAAGUCAUCAGCUUGCAUUGAUUACGUCCCUGCCCUUUGUACACACCGCCCGUCGCACCUACUGAUUGAAUGACUCGGUGAAAAAUCGGGACUGCGAGAACAAUCGAUUAAUUUCGAAUGUACUUGUGGGAACUUUUUUUAACCUCGCCAUUUAGAAGAAGGUGAAGUCGUAACA